GGCUGCUCUUCCCCUUUCCCCCAAUGGUUUAUUUGCUAGAAGAGUCUUUUCCUACCAACUCUGAGCUUGAUGCAGACAGACAAGACACUUACCUGCUUUCGGUUUGAAGAUGUUCAGCUCAGAUUACCUGCAUCUAAGGACCAAAAUGUAAAUGCCAGGGCCAUUCUUCCAGGUCAGUUUGCAUCAGAACCAUGCAGGUUGCAUCUGUUGCUAGUUACAAGAGAGAGCUAGGCCCUUCUUCAGUUUAAGGUCUUAGGCGGGAUGCCAAAAUCUGCAUUUCCAGCAAGUUCCCAGAUGAUGGCCAGGCUACAUUGUGAGAACAUCACAAUAGAUCAUUCUUCGUCUUAGAGUGGAGCCAGGGCAAAAGAGGAAUUCAAGCUGGAACAAGGAGUCCGAGAAGACGCGACUGCUGGACAGAACAAGCGAUGAAGCCAGUCCCCAAACUGAUGAGCCCGCAGCUCCAUCCAAAUUAAAUGGGCUGAGAACACCAACACUCCACCCUCCCGGUACGAUUGCAUGGCAGGGAGGAACCAAAAAUAUUUUUCCUUCAUCUGCUAUCUCAGCUAAGCAGUACACUCUUUCUAGCACCUCACUAGAGUCCAGUUUUUCUGUAUUCUGUAUUCACAAUACAGGUUUAUUAUGAACUCUGAGCAGAUGAGGCUAUUUUUCCCCCUUUUGGUUUCUUAGUAACUAGGCAAAGUACAAGGCUCACGGUGGGUAUUUAAUAAAUACUUACUGACAACUUGCCUGCAA